CUGACUGGAUCAAGGAUUUGAACUGUAGACACUAGGUGAGACCUGGUUUCUCUUGAGUAGUGCUUUACUGCUUUGCCCCAGAGCUGGCUCAGUAUAUCAAGACCUUUAAUAAAGAAAAAGAAUACAGAAAUCCCUCUGAAUACAGAGAGGACAGACCAUAGAAGCUUCACAUAGUUGGGAGACUUCUAAUUUAGCCGGAAUAAAGUGAAGAUACUGUUGGUCCAAGAACCACACAUGGUGAAGUUCACACCUGGUGAAGUUCACACCUCCGCCUUCACUCACCUGCCAGGGAGAUGUGCAGGUGCAGGUGUCAAAUAACGCAAGUGACAAUAAGAAAACAGCAUCCCCAAGGCCGCAGAUUGGCGCGGUGGACCCACGCGGGGCUGAUCUAGAGCCGUGUUCUCUUGUGCUUGCUUUUGUCCUGCCUGAGGCGAUGGAGCAGACAACGUCUUCACAGAGGGAUCGGACAGACCCGAGAGCUGCUGUUCCUCCUUUUCUCGCACUGAUGUAUCCUGCUUUGAAAUACCAGGUCCUUUUAGCAGUAUCACGGUGUAGCAGCAUGUUGUUAAUCCAAUAAAAAGCGUU